GGAGGAUCCAAGCGUUAUCCGGAAUCAUUGGGUUUAAAGGGUCCGUAGGCGGUUUGGUAAGUCAGUGGUGAAAGCCCAUCGCUCAACGGUGGAACGGCCAUUGAUACUGCCAGACUUGAAUUAUUAGGAAGUAACUAGAAUAUGUAGUGUAGCGGUGAAAUGCUUAGAGAUUACAUGGAAUACCAAUUGCGAAGGCAGGUUACUACUAAUGGAUUGACGCUGAUGGACGAAAGCGUGGGUAGCGAACAGGAUUAGAUACCCUGGUAGUCCACGCCGUAAACGAUGGAUACUAGCUGUUGGGAGCAAUCUCAGUGGCUAAGCGAAAGUGAUAAGUAUCCCACCUGGGAAGUACGAUCGCAAGAUUA
rnacentral:rRNA from 1 species